rnacentral:rRNA from 1 species
UAGAGUUUGAUCCUGGCUCAGAAUGAACGCUGGCGGCGUGCUUAACACAUGCAAGUCGAACGAUGAAGCCUAGCUUGCUAGGUGGAUUAGUGGCGCACGGGUGAGUAAUAUAUAGGUAACGUGCCUCUUAGUCUGGGAUAGCCAUUGGAAACGAUGAUUAAUACUGGAUACUCCUUCUAACUCUAAUGUUAGUCGGGAAAGUUUUUCGCUAAGAGAUCGGCCUAUUUCCCAUCAGCUUGUUGGUAGUGUAAGAGACUACCAAGGCUAUGACGGGUAGCGGGUUUGAGAGGAUGAUCCGCCACACUGGUACUGAGACACGGACCAGACUCCUACGGGAGGCAGCAGUGAGGAAUAUUGCACAAUGGAGGAAACCCUGAUGCAGCAACGCCGCGUGGAGGAUGACGCAUUUCGGUGUGUAAACUCCUUUUAUGAGUCAAGAAAAUGACGGUAGCUCAUGAAUAAGCACCGGCUAACUCCGUGCCAGCAGCCGCGGUAAUACGGAGGGUGCAAGCGUUAUUCGGAAUCACUGGGCGUAAAGGACGCGUAGGCGGGAAGCCAAGUCUGAUGUGAAAUCCUAUGGCUCAACCAUAGAACUGCAUUGGAAACUGGUUACCUAGAGUAUGGGGAGGGGGAGAUGGAAUUAGUGGUGUAGGGGUAAAAUUCCGUAGAUAUUCACUAGGAAUACCGAAAGCGAAGGCGAUCUCCUGGAACAAUACUGACGCUAAGGGCGUGAAAGCGUGGGGGAGCAAACGGGAUUAGAUACCCCCGGUAGUCCACGCCUAAACGAUGUUCACUAGUCGUCGGGAUGCUAGUCAUCUCGGUGAUGCACUUAACAGAUUAAGUGAACCGCCUGGGGAGUACGGUCGCAAGAUUAAAACUCAAAGGAAUUGACGGGGACCCGCACAAGCGGUGGAGCAUGUGGUUUAAUUCGAUGCAACGCGAAGAACCUUACCUGGUCUUGACAUACACGGAACUUUCCAGAGAUGGAUUGGUGCCUUCGGGAACCGUGAUACAGGUGCUGCAUGGCUGUCGUCAGCUCGUGUCGUGAGAUGUUGGGUUAAGUCCCGUAACGAGCGCAACCCUUAUCCUUAUUUGCCAGCACAUCAUGGUGGGAACUAUAAGGAGACUGCCGGUGAUAAACCGGAGGAAGGCGGGGACGACGUCAAGUCAUCAUGGCCCUUACGACCAGGGCUACACACGUGCUACAAUGGGAAGGACAAAGGGUUGCUAAGCCGCGAGGUGGUGCUAAUCUCAUAAACCUUUUCGUAGUCCGGAUCGGAGUCUGCAACUCGACUCCGUGAAGUCGGAAUCGCUAGUAAUCGUAGAUCAGAAUGCUACGGUGAAUACGUUCCCGGGUCUUGUACACACCGCCCGUCAUACCAUGGGAGUGGGUUGCACCAGAAGUGGCUAGUCUAACUGUUUACAGGGGACGGUCACCACGGUGUGAUUCAUGACUGGGGUAAAGUCGUAACAAGGUAACCA